CCUACGGGAGGCAGCAGUGAGGAAUAUUGGUCAAUGGACGCAAGUCUGAACCAGCCAUGCCGCGUGCAGGAAGACGGCUCUAUGAGUUGUAAACUGCUUUUGUACGAGGGUAAACGCAGAUACGCGUAUCUGUCUGAAAGUAUCGUACGAAUAAGGAUCGGCUAACUCCGUGCCAGCAGCCGUGGUAAUACGGAGGAUUCAAGCGUUAACCGGAUUUAUUGGGUUUAAAGGGUGCGUAGGCGGUCGGAUAAGUUAGAGGUGAAAUCCCGAGGCUCAACUUCGGAAUUGCCUCUGAUACUGUUCGGCGAGAGAGUAGUUGCGGUAGGCGGAAUGUAUGGUGUAGCGGUGAAAUGCUUAGAGAUCAUACAGAACACCGAUUGCGAAGGCAGCUUACCAAGCUACUUCUGACGUUGAGGCACGAAAGCGUGGGGAGCAAACAGGAUUAGAUACCCGUGUAGUC
rnacentral:rRNA from 1 species